GACGAACGCUGGCGGCGUGCUUAACACAUGCAAGUCGAACGAGAGGACAAGAGAAGCUUGCUUCUUUUGGAAUCGAGUGGCAAACGGGUGAGUAACACGUAAACAACCUGCCUUCAGGAUGGGGACAACAGACGGAAACGACUGCUAAUACCGAAUACGCUUGGGAGACCGCAUGAUCUUCCAAGGAAAGGGUGGCCUCUACUUGUAAGCUAUCGCCUGAAGAGGGGUUUGCGUCUGAUUAGGCAGUUGGUGAGGUAACGGCCCACCAAACCUACGAUCAGUAGCCGGUCUGAGAGGAUGAACGGCCACACUGGAACUGAGACACGGUCCAGACUCCUACGGGAGGCAGCAGUGGGGAAUCUUCCGCAAUGGGCGAAAGCCUGACGGAGCAACGCCGCGUGAGUGAUGACGGCCUCGGGUUGU
rnacentral:rRNA from 1 species